rnacentral:rRNA from 1 species
GACGAACGCUGGCGGCGUGCUUAACACAUGCAAGUCGAGCGGAAAGGCCCUUCGGGGUACUCGAGCGGCGAACGGGUGAGUAACACGUGAGUAACCUGCCUUCAGCUUCGGGAUAACCCCGGGAAACCGGGGCUAAUACCGGGUAUUCACGCUUCCUCGCAUGGGGUGGUGUGGAAAGGGUUUACCGGCUGGGGAUGGACUCGCGGCCUAUCAGCUUGUUGGUGGGGUGAUGGCCUACCAAGGCGACGACGGGUAGCCGGCCUGAGAGGGCGACCGGCCACACUGGGACUGAGACACGGCCCAGACUCCUACGGGAGGCAGCAGUGGGGAAUAUUGCGCAAUGGGCGGAAGCCUGACGCAGCGACGCCGCGUGGGGGAUGACGGCCUUCGGGUUGUAAACCUCUUUCAGCACCGACGAAGCGAAAGUGACGGUAGGUGCAGAAGAAGCUCCGGCUAACUACGUGCCAGCAGCCGCCGCAAUAAAAC